AUUGAACGCUGGCGGCAGGCCUAACACAUGCAAGUCGAGCGGAUGAAGGGAGCUUGCUCCUGGAUUCAGCGGCGGACGGGUGAGUAAUGCCUAGGAAUCUGCCUGGUAGUGGGGGAUAACGUCCGGAAACGGGCGCUAAUACCGCAUACGUCCUGAGGGAGAAAGUGGGGGAUCUUCGGACCUCACGCUAUCAGAUGAGCCUAGGUCGGAUUAGCUAGUUGGUGGGGUAAAGGCCUACCAAGGCGACGAUCCGUAACUGGUCUGAGAGGAUGAUCAGUCACACUGGAACUGGAACACGGUCCAGACUCCUACGGGAGGCAGCGGUGGGGAAUAUUGGAAGAUGGGCGGAAUCCUGAUCCAGCCAUGCCGCGUGUGUGAAGAAGGUCUUCGGAUUGUAAAGCACUUUAAGUUGGGAGGAAGGGCAGUAAGUUAAUACCUUGCUGUUUUGACGUUACCAACAGAAUAAGCACCGGCUAACUUCGUG
rnacentral:rRNA from 1 species